AGUGAACGCUGGCGGUAGGCCUAACACAUGCCAGUCGAACGGCAGCACAGUAAGAGCUUGCUCUUACGGGUGGCGAGUGGCGGACGGGUGAGGAAUACAUCGGAAUCUACUUUUUCGUGGGGGAUAACGUAGGGAAACUUACGCUAAUACCGCAUACGACCUACGGGUGAAAGCAGGGGAUCUUCGGACCUUGCGCGAUUGAAUGAGCCGAUGUCGGAUUAGCUAGUUGGCGGGGUAAAGGCCCACCAAGGCGACGAUCCGUAGCUGGUCUGAGAGGAUGAUCAGCCACACUGGAACUGAGACACGGUCCAGACUCCUACGGGAGGCAGCAGUGGGGAAUAUUGGACAAUGGGCGCAAGCCUGAUCCAGCCAUACCGCGUGGGUGAAGAAGGCCUUCGGGUUGUAAAGCCCUUUUGUUGGGAAAGAAAAGCAGCGGGUUAAUACCCCGCUGUUCUGACGGUACACAAAGAAUAAGCACCGGCUAACUUCGUG
rnacentral:rRNA from 1 species